rfam:Chloroflexi bacterium RBG_16_50_9 RBG_16_scaffold_7148, whole genome shotgun sequence.
AAUAUCUACUGGGGGAGCUGGAAGGCUGAGAGUCCCGAUGAUAUCGGGAUGACCCUGAGAACCUGAUCUCGGUAAUGCGAGCGUAGGGAAGUAGUAACGUAAACCA